GACGAACGCUGGCGGCGUGCCUAAUACAUGCAAGUCGAACGCAGUGGGGACGGGUGAGUAACCCGUGGGUAACCUCCCAUCAGAGGGGAUAACACUUGGCAACAGGUGCUAAACCGAUACUGAUGGAUGGACCCGCGGUGCAUUAGCUAGUUGGGUGGGUAACGGCUCACCAAGGCGACGAUGCAUAGCCGGCCUGAGAGGGUGAUCAGUCACACUGGAACUGAGACACGGCCCAGACUCCUACGGGAGGCAGCAGUAGGGAAUAUUCGACAAUGGACGAAAGUCUGACCGAGCCAUGCCGCGUGAGUGAAGAAGGUUUUCGGAUCGUAAAACUCUGUUGUUAGGGAAGCGGUAUCUAACCAGAAAGCCCCGGCUAACUUCGUGCCAGCAGCCGCGGUAAUAC
rnacentral:rRNA from 1 species